rnacentral:rRNA from 1 species
GAUCAUUACAAGUUGACCCCGGCCCUCGGGCCGGGAUGUUCACAACCCUUUGUUGUCCGACUCUGUUGCCUCCGGGGCGACCCUGCCUCCGGGCGGGGGCCCCGGGUGGACAUUUCAAACUCUUGCGUAACUUCGCAGUCUGAGUAAAUUUAAUUAAUAAAUUAAAACUUUCAACAACGGAUCACUUGGUUCUGGCAUCGAUGAAGAACGCAGCGAAAUGCGAUAAGUAAUGUGAAUUGCAGGAUUCAGUGAAUCAUCGAAUCUUUGAACGCACAUUGCGCCCCCUGGUAUUCCGGGGGGCAUGCCUGUUCGAGCGUCAUUUCACCACUCAAGCCUCGCUUGGUAUUGGGCGACGCGGUCCGCCGCGCGCCUCAAAUCGACCGGCUGGGUCUUUCGUCCCCUCAGCGUUGUGGAAACUAUUCGCUAAAGGGUGCCGCGGGAGGCCACGCCGUAAAACAACCCCAUUUCUAAGGUUGACCUCGGAUCAGGUAGGGAUACCCGCUGAACUUAAGCAUAUCAAUAAGCGGAGGAAAGGGCGAAUU